rnacentral:misc_RNA from 1 species
GCAGCACCCUUGCGACCAAAACGCCCAGCUCUACCAAUUCGGUGCAAGUAAGUUUCAUAAUCAGGCUCCGAAGUGUUGUGCUUUACAGGAAGAUCGAAGUUGAUCACUAAAUUAACCUGUGCUUGAUCAAAGCCCCGAGCAAGGAUAUCCGUUGUUAUGAGAACUUUGGUAUAUCCAUCUUUAAAUUCCCUUAUAACUUGUUCCCUGU